ACCGCGGUAGCCCAGUUGGUUAGGGCGUCGGCAAAACUGAUGCCGCAGGUUCAAAUCCUGCCUGCGGUG